AGCAAAACUGCUCACCUGCAAACAUAACAUCCAGCCACCUCUAGCAUCUCCCUGGAUGGCAAGGGCUGUAUCAAGGCUGCAACAGAAGCCCAUGGCUUGGGGUUGCCCUACAGUUUUUUGCACACCAGACCUGUGUCAUCCAUAGUAAGUGAUUGGGAAGGGUGCAGCUGACCUACAGUGGCUAAAUACUUAUAUUCUACCUGGGGAAAACUGACUGAACAAAAUAAAGGAAUAAGUCAUCCAAGGCCUGCUUCAGGGUGGCAGAUCUGCUGGAGUUGCCAAAUUUCAACACGCAGUUGAAUUCACCAUUGAGGCAAACUCUUCCCUCAGGCAGAUGCCAGGAUAUACGUUGACCGUGGAGUACUGUGUGUCGAUCACGGGAAUGACCAGAUUGUCUGUGUGAAACCUGUGCUGCCUGGAGCCUCUGCAGAUCCAUGUUUUAAGGUAUUUAAAUGGAUACUGGAUUUGUGUAAAUCUUCUGUAGAAGGUGAGUUUCCCCAUCAGUAAGUGGGAUUCAUGCUGUCUCUUGCCUGAUGCAAACAAGAUAAGCAGUAUGAUGUGGUUUCUAAACCUCCUGCAAAUGGAGACUCCUGGCCCUAUCCCCCACUAAGCAAUGUGGUCUGAACAACAGAUAAAACAUAUACGUAUCGCUGGCAGAAUUCCCCCCUCAUUCAGUCCCGACUUCUUCAGAUCUUACACAGAUCUUACAUCUACUUAAAGUCACUCAUGGCUUAUCCUGGAAAGAUUUCAGAGGUGUUUCCCAAAUCAUUCUGUAACGUCCCAACUUGCUGAAAGGAAUACAUACCUAUGGAAGGGAAAUCCUGAGUAAAAUUAAGCUUUUCAGGAAACAUUUAGACAGCAGGUAGCAGGUAACUUGAAAAUGAUGAGCUAGUAGCCUGCUCCUGCUCACAAUAGCUGUUCCUGGGAGGCAACGCAGAGAGAUGAGAUUAGCUGCCACCCUUUG